UGGGCAACCUGCCCUCAGCUCUGGGAUAACUCCGGGAAACCGGGCUAAUACCGGAUAUGACUUUGGUCGACAUCGAUCGAGGUGGAAAGAAUUUCGGCUGAGGAUGGGCCCGCGGCCUAUCAUGCUUGAUGGUGAGGUAACGGCCCACCAUGGCGACGACGGGUAGCCGGCCUGAGAGGGUGACCGGCCACACUGGGACUGAGACACGGCCCAGACUCCUACGGGA
rnacentral:rRNA from 1 species